UACGGAGGAUGCGAGCGUUAUCAGGAUUUAUUGGGUUUAAAGGGCGUGUAGGCGAGAAAGCAAGUCAGAUGUGAAAACUCAGGGCUCAACCCUGAGCCUGCAUUUGAAACUGUUUUUCUUGAGUGCUGGAGAGGCAAUCGGAAUUCCGUGUGUAGCGGUGAAAUGCGUAGAUAUACGGAGGAACACCAGUGGCGAAGGCGGCCUCCUGGGACGCAACUGACGCUCAUACACGAAAGCGUGGGGAGCAAACAGG
rnacentral:rRNA from 1 species